rnacentral:rRNA from 1 species
CCUACGGGAUGCAGCAGUGGGGAAUAUUGCACAAUGGGCGCAAGCCUGAUGCAGCCAUGCCGCGUGUAUGAAGAAGGCCUUCGGGUUGUAAAGUACUUUCAGCGGGGAGGAAGGGAGUGAGGUUAAUAACCUUAUUCAUUGACGUUACCCGCAGAAGAAGCGCCGGCUAACUCCGUGCCAGCAGCCGCGGUAAUACGGAGGGUGCAAGCGUUAAUCGGAAUUACUGGGCGUAAAGCGCACGCAGGCGGUCUGUCAAGUCGGAUGUGAAAUCCCCGGGCUCAACCUGGGAACUGCACUCGAAACUGGCAGGCUGGAGUCUUGUAGAGGAGGGUAGAAUUCCAGGUGUAGCGGUGAAAUGCGUAGAGAUCUGGAGGAAUACCGGUGGCGAAAGCGUCCCCCUGGACAAAGACUGACGCUCAGGUGCGAAAGCGUGGGGAGCAAACAGGAUUAGAUACCCGCGUAGUC